rnacentral:rRNA from 1 species
AGCUCCAAUAGCGUAUAUUAAAGUUGUUGCAGUUAAAAAGCUCGUAGUUGGAUUUGUGGCUGACGUUGGGCUUCCAUCCCUUUUGGGUUGUGUGUUGCCCGGCGUUGCCAUCCUUGGGUGGAAUCUGUGUGGCAUUAGGUUGUCGUGCAGGGGAUGCCCAUCGUUUACUGUGAAAAAAUUAGAGUGUUCAAAGCAGGCUUAUGCCGUUGAAUAUGUUAGCAUGGAAUAAUAAGAUAGGACCUUGGUACUAUUUUGUUGGUUUGCGCACCGAGGUAAUGAUUAAUAGGGACAGUUGGGGGUAUUCGUAUUCCAUUGUCAGAGGUGAAAUUCUUGGAUUUUUGGAAGACGAACUACUGCGAAAGCAUUUACCAAGGAUGUUUUCAUUAAUCAAGAACGAAAG